GACAGAGGGUGCAAGCGUUGUUCGGAAUUACUGGGCGUAAAGGGCGCGUAGGCGGUCCGCUAAGUUCGGCGUGAAAUCCCCUGGCUCAACUGGGGAACGGCGCUGGAUACUGGUGGACUCGAGUACCGGAGAGGAGAGUGGAAUUCCUGGUGUAGCGGUGAAAUGCGUAGAUAUCGGGAGGAACAUCAGUGGCGAAAGCGGCUUCCUGGACCAGAACUGACGAUCAGGCACGAAAGCGUGGGGAGCAAACAGG
rnacentral:rRNA from 1 species